rnacentral:rRNA from 1 species
GACGAACGCUGGCGGCGUGCCUAAUACAUGCAAGUCGAGCGAGAGGGAGUAGCAAUACUCUAGUAAAGCGGCGCACGGGUGAGUAACACGUGGGUAAUCUGCCUCGAAGUGGGGAAUAACACCGGGAAACCGGUGCUAAUACCGCAUAAUCUGACGGGAUCUGCGGAUUUUGUCAGCAAAGGAGCAAUUCGCUUUGAGAGGAGCCCGCGGCUGAUUAGCUAGUUGGUGAGGUAAUGGCUCACCAAGGCCACGAUCAGUAGCCGGUCUGAGAGGACGGUCGGCCACACUGGAACUGAGACACGGUUCAGACUCCUACGGGAGGCAGCAGUGGGGAAUUUUUCGCAAUGGGGGCAACCCUGACGAAGCAACGCCGCGUGGAUGAUGAAGUCUCUUGGGACGUAAAAUCCUUUCGACGGGGACGAAACCGCAAGGUUGACGGUACCCGUAGAAGAAGCCCCGGCUAACUCCGUGCCAGCAGCCGCCGUAAGAC